UUUCUUUAUUAAUUUUUUUGUUUUGAAUUGUCUACAGUGGUAGAGCAAAUCCUGUAGCAGUUUAAAGCUUCGGGAGCAGAAGUGCCCAGCAGAACUUGGGGAAGAUGGCAUACUACCUUUCAGUGGUGGACAGAACAUAAUUCUUCAUCUCCUAUUUUGCUUCUCUCCCUUCUCUUUGGACUGACAAGGUAAGUACAAAUAUGCUAUGAAAGCAUUAGAUGUAUGAAAAAAG
rnacentral:lncRNA from 13 species